CUAUAAUAAUCUUUACUGUUCAUGUAGAAUUAUAUGCUCAGAAUAUUAUCAACCAAAAGUGGUUGUUAAUGUUAUAAUUAAUUAGUUCUGACAUUAAAUUUUUGUGUUUUGUUGCAGACACCAACUGUUGGGGUUCUAUCUCAACAUUCUCCAGAUUCAGAUGUGAGCGAUAAACCGACUUCAUCCCUCCAACAGAAACCAACUGUUGAGGUUCCAUCUCAACAUUCUCCAGAUUCAGAUGUGAGCCAUUAACUGACUUCAUCCCUCCAACAGAAACCAACUGUUGAGGUUCUAUCUCAACAUUCUCUAGAUUCAGAUGACAGCCAUAAACCAACUUCAUCCCUCCAACAGAUUGACAGCAGGACAAAUCGCUGGAAGUGGGUAUGUCUCAAGCUUCUUCCACUUGGUCCACUCCAAAGCGGGCUGCAAAGGGGAAGAAGUGGAAGCAGUUGAAUGACACAUGUUGCAUUUUGUAACUGGCAACAAAGUACCAGGUAAAAAAGAUUGUGAAGCCUGCCUCCAUAAAGAACUAGUAGCUCUACAGGACAGAGAUUGGCUUGCCAUCAAGUACUACAUCCAUAACAGAAUUAUAUUAAAAAAAGGGAAAAAAAUGUUUUCCCACAUCUUCUGUGGUAGUUUGAGUAUGUUACCAGCAAUUAAAAAAGCAAAAUAAACAGCAAGCGUUUUGUAUUUAUUCCAGAUAAUUCUUAGCGACAAAAUCCACAAAAACAAUUCAGUUACACUUAGUUGACAAUUACAUUUUUACCCAUGUUUCUUUUAAACUCUUCUUGGUUUUAGAUUACAGUAGCAUGGGAUUGGGAUU